rnacentral:rRNA from 1 species
UACAGAGGGUGCGAGCGUUGUCCGGAAUCACUGGGCGUAAAGGGCGCGUAGGUGGCGGCCCAAGUCCAUGGUGAAAGCUCGAUGCUCAACAUCGAGUCGGCCACGGAUACUGGGUUGCUCGAGCACUGUAGGGGCAGAUGGAAUUCCGGGUGUAGCGGUGGAAUGCGUAGAGAUCCGGAAGAACACCGGUGGCGAAGGCGGUCUGCUGGGCAGUUGCUGACACUGAGGCGCGAAAGCGUGGGGAGCAAACAGG